rnacentral:rRNA from 1 species
CUGCUCCUAGUACGAGAGGACCGGAGUGGACGAACCUCUGGUGUUCGGGUUGUCAUGCCAAUGGCAUUGCCCGGUAGCUAAGUUCGGAAUCGAUAACCGCUGAAAGCAUCUAAGCGGGAAGCGAGCCUUGAGAUGAGUUUUCCCUGACRCUUUAAGYGUCCUAAAGGGUUGUUCGAGACUAGAACGUUGAUAGGCAGGGUGUGUAAGCGCUGUGAGGCGUUGAGCUAACCUGUACUAAUUGCCCGUGAGGCUUAACCAUACAACACCCAAGGGGUUUUGUA